ACUGUUUUUCAUGCAUCACUAUUUAACUUUUUAUGAAUAUUGAACUUGGGCCAUCCACUUACCAGUUGAUAGGCACUUGCGUUAUUUCCAACCUGGGGCUUUUAUGAAAAAAAAUGUUUCUGAAAGAGUUUCUAGAAAUAACUGCCUGUAUGGACACGCCCUCGGUUCUCUUCCACAGAUCGCUAGGCUUGUGUGGUGAGUUCAUGUUUAAAUAUUAGACGGUCAUUUCCCCUGCUUCCCGAGUCCCUUCAUUCCCUGUGGCUCUGCUUGGGAGCUUUGUUCUCCUGGCCCGAUGAGGGAGGCCAUUGUUCCCUUGAAAUGAGAGCAGCUGAUCUCACAGGUAGCCUUAUAAGAUUGGGCAGAUUAGCAUCUCCUCCUGGACUUUGGAGGGAUCAUGAGGCAGGGCUGCCUUCUUGAGGAGGUGGUAGCUGCUUGACCCCCCAACUAUUGUGACAAGACAAGGCUAAGGUAAGCUGGGGCUCUUCUGUCUGAGGGCCGAGAAUCUGUGGCAAAUCCCAGGUGGCUGUCUUGUAUGUGGUACGGAGUGGGCGGCCUCUGUGGUGCAUAAAGUCAGUCAGGUGAGUAGAGAGCCACUUCAACCGCUGAUGGUCUAGAGAGAGUAUUGUGGUCCUUGAGAGUAGCACAUCCAAAUGGGCUACCCUGGGCUAGCGAGCGGCUGUGGCACCGAUUGCAUUGCCUCUGUCACUGGUGAUAAGACGUGCAACUGAGGGCCGGCUGACUGUGCAGGAAAAACCCGCUUCCAUAAGGGAGGAAUUUAAAAAGAAAACCACAAAGAUGCUGUCCUCUGUGAACCUCUGAACUGGCAACCCCGUCCACCCCCACCCCCAAACUAAACUGGAGUUGGGGGUGUGGGAGUGAGGGAAAGAGUACAAAUCAGGUCUAUGUUAAAAUUCUGGGAUCCCAAAACUUGGAAUUUAAAGAAUAAUCAGAGAGAGGAAGGAGAAAUAACAAGAUAUCCCUUAGGCCCAACCUUACUACACAGGAAAAGGGAACUCUGCAGUUCAGCACACGGAAGGGGGUUGUCAUAAUGGCUCCGUGUUAGAACCCGGCUGAGGACUCUGCCUCUGAACUGCUUGAAUUAGAGAACUGACAAACUUGUUUCAAAAAAGUUAUCACUGGGCCCCUGAUCCGUCUUAUUGUUACCUUUUGCUCAGCCAGAUACAAACGAGAGUCACCUGGGAAGAGGGACCCUCUAGGCAAGUCUCUAGAGCAUUUUCUUGAUUAAUGACUGAUAUGGGCGGGCCCAGCCCCAUGUGGGCGGUGCCAUCCUUGGGCAGGCCAUCCGGAAUUGUGUAAGAAAGCUGGCUGAGAGCUGGGAGAUGGCUGAGCCUGAAGGGCUAAGCUCACAGCCAGAAAAGACAAAGACUGAGGGAGCCAAAUACCUUCUUUAGACUAGAAAGCGGCCUGUCCCCAGGUCAGAGAUGCAUUGUAAGAGGAAUUUGGAAGCUGGCCCCCCGAGAAGAAAGCCCACUGGAGCCCUGCUCAGGGCAGUGGAAGGAAAGGCCACCUGGCUAACAUGAGCCAGGAGUUUUACUCUGCCAAGAAAAUUGAAAGCGUGCACACGAAAAGCUGUAUGUGAAUGUUCGUGACAGUCACAAGACGGAAAUGACCCAAGUGUCCAUCACUAGUAGAUGGGUAAGUCAGACAUGGUAUCAGUCACACAACAGCCCUCUGCUUGGCAGUGAGGGAUGUGGCAUGGAUGAACAGUCACAAAUGCAUACAGACACAGAGACAGACAGACAGAUGGACAGACAGACAGACACAGAGACAGGUAGACAGGGUUAAGAGUUUUGUGUAUUUGAGACCUUCUCAAGAGUCCGUAGCCCUGGUCGUCCCGUUAGUCGUUCUGUGGUCCGUGCUGGCCUCAACGCUGGUCGCACUCCUGCUUCAGCUUCCUGAGUGCACACGGAAGGGGGUCGUCAUAAUGGCUUGGUGUUAGAGGUGUUAGCCACCGUGCCCGCUCCUGGCAAGGAUAUCUCAAAGUUAUUCACAUCACUGUGAUGCCUGCACUAGGGGAUCUGCAAACAGGCAGAAGGGGCAAGGCACACUCCAGGACUGAGGAUUGGACAGGGGGUGCUGCUAGGGCACGCCACAGCUACCCUGCCACAGGGGCAGACAAGUGCAGCUGAUUACCUGCUGGCUAGAGUGGAGGCAGGGCUUGUGAACAGAAGGUAGAGGGUGGCCUGGGGGUAGGGGUUCCUUUCUUCUCUGGCUCUGGGCAAACACACUGUGGCCAGGACAUGGUCAAGAGGCCCUCAAGGACUACUGGGCGUUGAAGAUUUAGAAGCACAUGUCUGUGAGUUUUACAUACAGACGCUCAGGCCUGGGGUUUGGACUCACAGAGACUCAAAUGCUUUAAGAUUUCUGCCCAAACUGCGUUCAAGCAGAAGCAAGGCAACUUUAGCUGCCUCCUUGUCAGGCACGCCGGGAGGAGCUCUGCACAUUGGUGAGCAGGACACAGUGCUAGGCCUUUCCACACCUGACCAUGGGAGUUCCUACCAAGAGUCAGUGCAGAGCAUGACAGUGAGGAGGUGGGUAGGGACAGCAGUGUGGUCGGGACGACUGUUGGUACCACAGGACAUUCACUACAGCCAGGACUGUUGGCACUGCGCUGGGGUCUAUAUUAGUGUCUCAUGGACGGGCCAGCCAAGGCCUGAAGCAAUCGAGGAAGAAGAGCUGGCUUGGGGCAGGCAGAGGGCUCGGUUAGGAACAAAGAACCACCUUGGGCGGGGAUAGAGAAGCUGCUCAGGGUUUUAAUCGGCAAAGUGACUCCACCUGGCAUUGCUGCCGCCUUGUGAAGUACAUUGUCCGUCCGAGAGGGAAGGACACCAGGGGACACAUGGCAAGGCUUUGUGUCAUGACUGUUUAAAAAUAGCACACCUUCAACAGAGCGUCAAAAUCAGAACGGGAGGUCCGCAGAGCCAAAAGUCACACUGGAGGAGAAUAAGACCUCAGUGACUUUUUAACAAUGGGGCAUGGAGUCGAUGCUGGAAGCCCAGGUAGCUAAAGGUGAGGCGCUGAGGCUGGGAGUUCUAGAAGAGGGUUGCUGUCUCACUUGCCGAUGGCCCAGCAGAAUGUGUCCACAUGAACCCAGGGAUAGCUUCCUUAGAAGGAAAGGCAGCACUCUCCAUGUGUGGGUUUGGAUUUGAAUUAGAAGUGAGUCUGGUGACGUGGCAGACUCAGACAGCAGAGCCGGACGUUCCAAAGUGUCUGGGGGUGCACGGUCUCUGGCCGCUGAGGCUACCCUUUGCUCCCCGCCGUUCUUUGCAGACUCAGUCCGGAAGGAGUGUCCUCCCGUCGUGGGCACUCCAUUCUGAUACCAGGGAUGGCUUGGAGCCCGUGCCUCAGUGAGUGCUCUGUCACUGCACUAGGUCCCCAGCCAGAAGCCACACGUUCGAGCCCCAGCAUCCACUCGGAGUUGGUAGUAGUGCUCCAGGGGAGGCCGAGCACAAGUUGUUUUUGUUGGACCGACUCUGACCUCUGCCCUGGGGCACGGCUCACAUUUUUACUUCGCCUCUGAGCAGGAAGCAGGAUAGAUGCACAUCGGGGUUGAAGUUCUAAUGCUUUCUAGGGCUUGGGUGUGAUUGUGUUCUCAGUGUGCUUUCGUUGCAGUCAUCGAAAAGGAUUCUGGGGAAGGUAGGGCGAGAACUGUGAGCCUAGGCCAAGAGCUAUGAGCAUAGGUCGUAGGUGUGAGGGAGGAGCUCAGAUCCCUCUGAAGCAAGGGAGGCUGUGGGCCGGCCAUGAGCCCUUCACUCAACCUUUCAGCUCCUUUCCUCAGAUGGACAGACAGCUCCCCUCGAUUUGCCUUCAGGUUCCACGCACACCCUUUCUUGUUCAUUUCCAGAUGACGUAAUCUAUGGAGGACACACAUCAGUACUGCCUUUACUCUUUUUUUUUUUUUUUUUUUGGUUCUUUUUUUCGGAGCUGGGGACCGAACCCAGGGCCUUGCGCUUCCUAGGUAAGCGCUCUACCACUGAGCUAAAUCCCCAGCCCCCUGCCUUUACUCUUUAACGAUGACCAAACACCCAAACUUUGUAACAUUUCUUUUGAGGGGCAGGUGUCCUAAUAAAUUCGCAUGUAAGAAAUUCAGAUAUGAAGAGGUUAGGUCACUCACUCAAGCAAUAGAACAGGAAACAGCUCUUGGCCUGAUCAGUCCCUUAUACUUUUGAGGGCUGCAUGAAGUAUUAGUUUUAUAUGAUCAAACUUUAGUCUUGAUAAUAGGAUUGACAAUUAAGGGUUAAUUAAUAAUAAUGUGAUUGUUAAGUCCUCCUUAGAUACCCCAACACUUCCAAAGUGUGCUUUCCUAGUGCUUCAAACUGUAGAGGGGAAUUCUCGAGAUGUGUAGCUGCCAAAACCCUGUCCAAGGUGAUGGGGUCUGAUCCUAACACUUGGCGGGCGUCACUGGGGGGCCAGAGGACGUGCUGGAGUUGAAUUUGCCACCAAACAGGAUUGCAUGCAUGCCACCACAGCAUGGGCAGCAAGCAUUUCCUGCAUCAUUUCCUUGGAUAAGUGGGUCGAAAGUCCUUACCCUGUGAGUCCCUAGACCUUCUUGGUGGGUUUCAGGAAGCUGGCUCUCAAGACUCUCAACCCUAAAGUCUGAUUCCAACUGGAAUUGUGGCAUGGAUCACUUUGUGUGUGUGUGUGUGUGUGUGUGUGUGUGUGUGUGUGUGUGUGUGUGUGUCUUCACCACCAAGCACUGGCAAGAACAAAGUAUAAGCUUUACUCAAGAACAGCCUUGGUGGAGCAGUAAGGAUGGGGUUGUUCAGUUCUGACUUUCAGAAGUGACACAUGACAAGGAGUCACACAAAGGCAUCCAGCUGCUCUGAAGAAACCCUUGGGAUUGGACUGUGUGUGACCAGCCCUGUUUCCCUGUAGCACUUCCCCCGCCCCCUCACAGAACCAACACACUCUGGCUCUGUGGCAGACACACUUGUGCUGAUCAAACAUGAGCCUGCCACUUCAAGGACAACAGUGGACGCUUUUGAUGGCUAGUGACAAAGUUUUAGGUUUGAAGGAAAAAAAUUAGAACUUGGGGAGAACAAUUAUCUACUGCCACAGAACGUAGAAUUUCCUAUGGUGCUGGUAACAUUUCAAUGUUACAUAUGAUAAGGUACCUUUGGGGACAUCACGAUGGGAUAUGUGAGCACCUGGAAAAUGCCCAGAUUCUGCAGCAGCAGUGCACAGCCCCCUAUGGCAUGGGCACUAUGCUUUUGUAGUACAGGAAGCCUUAUGAUUAUGGAAAGGGAAAAGACACAGGACAGAUGGACGGACAGACAGGCAGGCGCGCGCGCGGGCGCACACAAACACACACACACACACACACACACACACACACCUCUCCCUCAAACAACCCAAAGCCUCUAAAGGAGCCUAACUCUGUUAAGAAGGACUUAUUUGAAAAGGUUAUUACAACAUUUAUGUUAGCCAGGAUUUUCACUUGUUCAACUGAAGAGAAACAGAACAGACAGAAGGCGGCGGCGGACCCAGGAGCCUCUCUGUCCACUAUUAAGCUAAACAUGGCUUUCGCCCAACUCUAAAACAAGUCUGGGCCACUGAGACAGCUUGGCAGGUAGAAGGCAUUUGCCACCGAUCCUGACAAGCUGGGCUCAGUCCCUGGCAUCUACAUGGUGGAAGAAGAGAAUUCAUUUCUCAGAGAUUUCCUGACACACACAGAGACGAAACAAAAGUUAAAACUCCAUGCUUCUAUUUUUAUUGGUGUGUGCACGUGAGUGGAGGUCAGAGGGGGCCAUCAGGGUCUCCCUCAGUUCUCUCAUUGAACUUGAAGCUCUGGUUUGGCCAGACUAGAAUUCAGUAAGCCCCAGAGACCCCCUUGCCUCUGCUUCUCCAGAGCUGAGACUGCCAAAUCAAAAUAAUUUUUUACGGUGAUUUAUGGACACGUGUAAUUUGUUAACAUGGUUUCAUCGUUGUUACUUUAAAAGGAGUUACUAUGCCAGGGGUGGUGGCACAUGCCUUUACUCUCAGCCCUCUGGAGGCAGGCAGCUCAAUCUGUGAGUUUCAGACCAGCCAGGGCUACAUAGCAAACUGUCUCAAAUAUACAUACAUAUGUAUGAAUAUAUAUAUAUACACACACACACAUAUAUACACCUUAAAUAUUGAUGUAUGUUAACCAUAUGAGGGUUCUCAAAAAAUGUUAAUGAUGAGUCUAAGGCCGAAAUGUUGGCAGCACACUACUCGCUACUCUCUCAUACUCCCUAUGGGGAAGUCAGAGGACAUCUAAGUUAAAAAUGACUCAAACAGUCUACGCCUUUCUCUGUACAUUUCUUUUGUGGGAACACUGUUACCUAAAAACCAAAUAGCUAGUGAUGAUGAUGACACAAGUGGUGGGUUGUGGAGUGUAAGUCUGGGAUGUUAAACUGCAAAGAAAGACUGCUAACAGUCUCUGUCAGACUUCAGGAGAAGGGUGGGGUGGGACUAGCACAUGCCUAUGCAGGCACACAGGCACACGCACACACACAUCACACACACCUGCACGCACACGGACACACACACACACACACACACACACACACACACACACACACACACUUUUCACAAUGAUGAAAACAUUGCUCAGGAAAAAGCCAAAUCAUGCAAAAAGGUCUUUUUUGAUAGGCCGGUUCAAAUUUGAAAGCCACAUCCCCCAGACCAUUGGCCUUCCCUUCCUGCCACCCUCCCACCCCCCAACAGUCACCAGCCUGGGAGUCCGGCAUAGUUGGGAAGUCCAGGAUGUAGAGAUCCUGGUUCAUAAGGAUCAAACUGGGGCCUGAACUAACUGCAGCCAAUUUCUGCAACUUUAAGCAGAGACGAAAGAAAUAGGUACAACCAGGGAGACAUUACGUAAGUACGGAGGAGAAUCAGAAUAAUUUUUCUUCUCUGAAGAUCUUAAAACAACUUAAAAAAAUUUUUUUGUGGUAAAUAGUAGGUAUUUAUUUGAAAUGAAAAAAAUACUUAAGUACCUGGACUAUUGCAUUUAGCACGGGCUGCGACUGCCUACCUUUAUGCAUCAGACAGAGAUACAGUGAACACCCAGACCACAGACUGCACAUGGUAGGAAUUCCUCAGCCUUUACACAACCACCAGAGAAACAGAGAUCGGAUUUUGCAAUACAGUACAAAAGUCCACAAUCAAUCCAGUCUUAGCCAGUAUCUUCGGUUUACUUCUGUUGCUGUACAAACGAUUAGCCGUUACUAGGGCUUACAAGUUAAUGACAGGACAGAAAUAUACAUGGCACUGACACAAAAAGUCAGUUGUGUUAAUGGUCAUGCAACAAGUAAGCAAACUUGCUGAAAUUAAAAAUACUUUCUAAAAACAGCUUUAACAGCGUAAAUAUUUUAUACACAGUUGUUUACCAAAAACAAAAUGUAUUUAAAUGAUACAAAGCAAAAAUAAGUUUCUACCACCUUUAUACAUAAGAAAGUGCAAAAUAACUUAUCUAGAGUGUUUUGCUAUUCUCCAGAGGGCUGGCUGCUACGGGCAGCUACUUCUCGUCUUCAAAAGCAUGACGUCACACUUGCACACUACACUCGGGUGUGUGUUGAGUGCAUGGAUGAGCAGUGGGUGGAUGGGUGAAGGGUGAACAGAGGUCAGGCUGGAGCCCUGUGAGGUACUUAGAAAAAGAAUGCAGACCACGGGAAGGUGGACACACAUCGUGUAUAUUGGUAAGCAGAUUGGCACAGAACACGGGGGAUACAUAGCCAGACGAGCAAUGGAGCCCAGUGCCCGGGGGGAGGGAGGAGUGGCUCUGUGAUUUCUGCAGAAGUGAAAAGAAAACAAAAACCAAAAGCUGGUGGAAACAAGACA